UGAGUGGCGAACGGGUGAGUAACACGUGAGUAACCUGCCCUCUUCUUUGGGAUAACGCCCGGAAACGGGUGCUAAUACUGGAUAUUCACUGGCCUUCGCAUGGGGGUUGGUGGAGAGGUUUGUUCUGGUGGGGGAUGGGCUCGCGGCCUAUCAGCUUGUUGGUGGGGUGAUGGCCUACCAAGGCUUUGACGGGUAGCCGGCCUGAGAGGGUGACCGGUCACAUUGGGACUGAGAUACGGCCCAG
rnacentral:rRNA from 1 species